UUCAGGACUGGCUCCAAACAAAAGUUAAAGGGGAAAAAAAAAAAAACCCAAGGGACUACUGGAGGCGAGAAAGGUUCUUCGCUGUCAUUGUGAGCCUCUGUCUGCUGGAUUCGCAGCAAGGGAGGCAGGGAAGUUUCUUAAUAACCAGAAGCUCCUCAGCCAUGGCAUGUGAGAACUGCUUACCUGGCCCCACAAGACAAGAUUCUGUUUAUCUUCAGAUGUUCCUGCAGAAACAGAAGUUACAGAAGGGCGUUGCCAGACGGAGCCGGGUUUGGAACGCGGCCAUUCGUGGAUGUUUUGUUUGAAACAACCCCGCGGAUGUUACCGUACCGAG